rnacentral:rRNA from 1 species
GGGCCCGCACAAGCGGUGGAGCAUGUGGUUUAAUUCGAUGCAACGCGAAGAACCUUACCUACCCUUGACAUACAGCGAACCCUAAAGAGAUUUGGGGGUGCCGAAAGGAGCGCUGAUACAGGUGCUGCAUGGCUGUCGUCAGCUCGUGUCGUGAGAUGUUGGGUUAAGUCCCGUAACGAGCGCAACCCUUAUUCUUAGUUACCAGCGGGUCAAGCCGGGGACAUUAAGAAGACUGCCGGUGACAAACCGGAGGAAGGCGGGGACGACGUCAAGUCAUCAUGGCCCUUAUGGGUAGGGCUACACACGUGCUACAAUGGUUGGUACAGAGGGAAGCAAAGCGGCGACGUGGAGCAAAUCUCAGAAAGCCAAUCGUAGUCCGGAUUGAAGUCUGCAACUCGACUUCAUG